CGAGGGAUAAAAAGUCGGGACGGAAGCCUGUUCGAGGAGAAAGAUGGAAAUUGCAUUCGGAUGAGCCUUAUUUUCGGUUGGCCGUAAUCACCCAAGUAAUCAGAGUUUCGGAAGAUGAAAAGAAAACAAAAGGAGCUAAAAAAGUUAGCUUGAGGUGCCUUCAACGAAAUGUUAAAGGCACCUGCGCUGCAUACAGUGCUGGAGGCGCCCUCAUGGCCUUGAGGGCGCCUUCAACCAUGUCCGAGGCGCCUCAAGAUUAUUGGAGGCGCCUCAGACCCAAUGUAGUGACCGUUUUCGCAGAUGGAUAAAGUUUUAUCCAUCUACUCGGCUGAAGGCACCCUCAACCUCGUUGAAGGCGCCCUCAAGGCUCGAGAUAAGUUUUCCAGGAGCUAUAUAAAGGUCCAUGGAGUUAGAAAAUUAAUGAAUCAACUAUGAAUCAAUUUCUAGCAACUUGUAAGAACUUUUAGUGUGUAAAAGACUUCUCUACCUUCAGAGAAAGAGACUUUUUAUAGUGCGCCUAUUUAACCGCCUUGGAUUAACAACCUUCUUGAUUGUAAUCAAGUCAAUUCUAUGAGUCUUCUUUCUUUUCUUUUAUUGCUGUUAUUUCUUCUAUUUUUGUUGCUAAUUUUUGAAUUGAAAGUUUCAGGAAGGUAUUUUCAUUUACAGAUAAUUCAUCCCUCCCUUCUUACCGACCCCGCUGCACCAAUAAAAAUGUCUCCUAUUUUCAUUAUCAUUAUAAUUAAAAUAAACUAAUGCGCUCAUACACCUCAUCACUUUUAUUAUAUUUACAUAUCAUAUAAAAUUCUAUAUAAAAUUAGGAUAUGUAAUAUGUUCAUUAAAUUAUAUACUAACUAUAUUUAUAUUUUAUAUAUGUUUAUUAAGUUAUUAUAAACUAUUUAUAUUAAAUCUAAAGUUAAAAUGUCAAUAAUUCAUGCUAAUUUAACAAAUAUUCCCUUUUGUUUUUUACUACUUACAGAAGGUAGGUGGGGCGUUAUGUCACAUUUCGGCCGUCACCACGCCGCAUAACCGAUAUAGUAAUAAACCAUUAUAAGCUACUCCUACCUGCAGGUUGCUUGGCGGUGUGGGGAUUCACCGUCGGAGUUCCAAUCUCGUCUCAAGGAGAGAGCAGAGGAAGCAACGGGAGCUGCGAUCCAGAUCCGAAAUGAUCCAUUUUGUAAUUCUACUUAGUCGACAAGGGAAAGUGAGAUUGACAAAAUGGUAUUCACCAUACCAGCAGAAGGAACGAGCCACAGUUAUCCGGGAGCUUAGUGGCCUUAUUCUUUCACGAGGACCAAAACUUUGCAAUUUUGUCGAGUGGAAGGGGUACAAAGUUGUAUAUCGAAGAUAUGCUAGCCUAUACUUCUGCAUGUGCAUCGAUCAAGACGACAACGAGCUGGAGAUCCUUGAGAUCAUUCAUCAUUUUGUCGAGAUAUUAGACCGUUACUUUGGCAGCGUCUGUGAACUCGAUCUGAUCUUCAAUUUCCACAAGGCAUACUACAUUUUGGAUGAGAUUCUAAUUGCCGGUGAGCUUCAAGAAUCAAGCAAGAAAACUGUUGCUCGACUUAUAGCUGCCCAGGUAACUGAACUGAUAUAUGGAGUGUUGAGUUCUUUUCUAUUUCAAAGCCAAUCUGCUAGGCGAGAUCAGUUAGGUUGCCAAGUUGGGGUAAGUAUGCUAUACUGUCAAUAUCAAGUAGAUAAGGUAAGUGACUGUAUGCGAGCUAAUCAUACACAUGGACGAGUAGCUCCUAGAUCCAAAAAAGUAUUUCCAUCAGGUUAAGCUUGUUCCGUCUCAAAAUGAAUUGUGACAAUUGCCCUAAUAUACCCACAAUACGAACUUUCGCACUUGUCCAUGUGAGACUGAUUCUAUUAUCGACAUACUCAUGUGAUUACUGACAUGAAUCUAAUCCUGGCUCUUUCAGGACACAAUGGUCGAAACGGCAAAGGAAGAAGCUGGUUCAAUCAGCAAUAUGAUUUCACAAGCAAUGUGAUCAAGAUCGCCGAGUGCUGUUGUCUUUUCUACUCUUAGACACCUUUGUCAGUAUUUUCAUCUCAUGGUUCUGGUGAUCUACAGCAUUAUUCCUUUGACUUCUUCUAUCUCAUUCUAUGCAAAUAUUGCUAGUUCCAUCUGAAUUUAAAUUUACUUUAAAUUUUAGGUUCUGUAUUGCAAAAGCUUAUUUAUGCAAUUCGAGCUCUUGAUCAUAGAAGGGUUUAUCUUCUCUUCUUUGUAGCAAUUUUGGUCAUUAUUUUGAAAUUUUUUAAGGAAAUAAAAUUUAUUUAUUUUUAUUUUUACUUUUUUUUUAAGAAAAUAAAACUUUGCAAGAGGAGAAAAAAAAAUGAUGACAAAAUUUAAAUUUUAAAUUUGUUGAUAGAAUUUUAAUCAAUUAUUAUAAAAUAUGAUAUUUAUGGAAAUAGUAUAUUUGUGUGUAUAUAAUAUGCAUACACAUAAAUAUUAAUUGGUAGUGAGAUAAAUCGCAUGACGGCGACCGAGAAAACCGGCGAAACGGCGGCGCCGCUGCUUCUACCGCCGCCUCGUUCCUCGGAGACAUGCUAUGGUGUACCCGCCGCCAUUUCAUCCGUCGCCGUUUUUCAUGACCCGGAGCCCCCGGCAUACGUCUCGCGACUGCAGAUGCUUCCGCUGUUUCGGCUCGAUGAUUUCUUGUUCCACCCUCCUCUUCGGCGCCUUCCUUCUUGUCGUCCUCUUCUCCGCCGCGUUCGUCCUCUGGCCCUCCGACCCGGAGCUCACGUAGUCCACCUCCAAUUCGAUCACAUCCAUGUGACCACGAGAUCCGAGGCCGAUUUAGACAUCUCCAUGGGCGUCGAGCUCAGGAUCCGCAAUCCGGCCUUCUUCGCUCUCGAUUACCGCUCCAUCGUGGUAUCGAUCGGGUACCGUCGCGGCUAGGGGAGGCCGUAUUAGGGCACGAGGGGAACUCUCUGGUCCACGCCAAGCUCAAGCUCAACAGGAUCCAUUUUUUCAAAGAUGUCUAUUCGAUCCAGGAUCUUGCGACGGGAAUCGGGAUCUCUGCCUUUGGACACAGAGAUCGUGGGUGAGGGCAGGAUGCUGCUCUUCUUCUUCGAUGUCCUUGUUAAGGGAAAAUUUUCCCGUUCAGUGAUGAUUAACCCAGAAACCCAUAGAAUCAUUCAUCAAGACUGCUACCUUGAAAAGAUGAACGGGUGAUGAUUAUCACAAAUUUCAUCUACCGAUGAAUGCCAACUUCAUCCAUUACAAGAGACCAAAGUGGAACUGGUCCACAUACAAAUUGGCUGUGUGCUGAAGUGUCCCCAGUAGCUGAAAAGAUGACAAACAGAUAUGAGGCGGCAAAAAAUAUAUGAAGAAUGACGGUUGAAGUUAGAGGGGACCAGUUCAGCUGGUUCAUAUGGGAAAGUAGAUGAAAACCAAGCCAAAAACCAAUGGCCAGAGGCUAGCAACUAGCAAGUAUGAAGAAGGGUGGUUGGUGACUUGGGAAUGGAAAGAAGUGGCACUUUGGUGUCCAAUUCCUAAGUGCCAUCAUGAAGCAACAAAACUGGACUUGCAUGUGCCAGAAGAAAUAAGCCUCAUGCUUUUGUCCUGCCAUUAAAGGUACUUUUAAAAGGACCUCUCUGUGGACUUCUUUUUUUAUUUUUUUUUAAUCAAGAUAGAAGAUUUUUUACAUAUCACUGUGAUUCAUAUUUAUAUAUUGAUCCUUAGCUUCAGUCUAAGCAUAA